CUGAAAAAGAAAAUAAAUCACUCAACUCGCAGUUCAUCCACCCCGUGCUCCAAACACUGUGGCUCAUCCCGUGUGCAGUCUGGCGCGAGGGAGGCAGGGGCGACAGUGGCCUCAGCGGAGUGGUCACCGCUGAGAUUCAGGACAGGCCAGUUCCUGGGGAAGGAGCAGAGCAAAGGAUAGGGUGUCCAGGGCCGUGCCCCGAGAGGGGCAGGGAGAGAGGAGCGGCCAGCAAGAGACAGAAGCCCCCGCCACAGAGGAGUGGGACAGGUGUUUGCAAAACGGACACAAAGUUGCAGCACCGGGGUCGCAGGGGGGUCAGGGUGUGGCCGAAAUUCUGUGUCCGUCCCCAGGGACUUUGGUGGCGUGGCUUUCUGGAUCUGUGCCCGGUGGUUUAUGCUUGAUCACAGCUGGUGGUUUCACCUCAGGAUGCCCUGCGGGAACUCAGGCAUUCCGUACAUUACAAAUGUGGGGCCUGGCACAGCUAUGCCCGGGCACCUGCCCGGACCCACAACACACACACACACACAGAGUGAUGAUGUCACAGAAAGGAACUGCUUUGGGGUUCUCAGCAGACCCGCCCAGAAGCACUGUCACCAUGACAGGAACUGAAAGGAUGUCAACAUUCCCGAAAGGAGAAUUAUUAGAAGAAACGCAUCAUCCCAUCAGCCCUUUGGUUUUGCUUUCUAGACUCUGACAGCGGCCCCACCUCUGUCGCUGGGAGCAAGUCACUAAAAAAAUCCGCGAUGCGGUCACUCUGGGCACCGGGGGCAAUCAGGUGGCUCAGGACGCAGACCUUCAGAAGAGCAAAAACCUUGUUACCGGUGGCGUGCCCUCUGGUCUUCCCAGGACAUGGAUCCUCUUACCGCCUACGUUCUGGUCACUCACUGCAAAGCAACUUCCCGACGUGGAGACAUGCUGGGCCAGUCUUGUCUGCAUUCGAGGGGGCAGCCGGGGGGCAGGAGGGAGCAGACAGUGCACCGGACCAGGGCUGAGGCCAGGCUGCGGCUAAUCAGACCAGAUGCUUCCGCCCUACCCGGGAGUCGUGUCGUGUCGUGUCGUGCCGUGUGCGGGGUGUGCAGAUGUCUCAGCCCAGCAGGCCCAGGGAGCCUGGGCCAGGCCACGCCCACACGGCUGCUGAAGGGGACUCAGGGACGGGUCACCCGAAGCCUGCCCUCCGGGGGCUCCGUGUCCUGCGUCGGGGAUUUCCUCCAGGGUACAGACACCUGUCCUCUCGCCUCCUGCCUCGCUGGUCCCUGCUGCCCAGAGAGACCCUCCCCUCCCCGGACCUCCUCUGCCCUUGGACACUCCUUGAGGCUUCCAGGUAGGAAGGGCCUUUGUCAGAACAGAGAAACCAAAACCUAAACUUGCCCCCGAGGACUUAGGGAUAUGGCAGUUGGCAGAGAAGUUCUUCCCACGUUGAUGCCCGUGAGGGUGGCACGAGGGGCCUGAGUCUAGAAAGGGGUGGGGCCCAUCGAUGCCAACUCAGCAGCUUCCAGGAGCUCUGAUGGCAUAUAAGGCUCCCAGGUCCUUACAGGGCACCCCGAGGGGAGGACAUAGACCGUGACCAGGCAGAGAAGCAGCGGACAGAGAGCCGGAGACGGUGAAGGGACUGACAUGGAGGCUGGCGCCCGGGGCCUGGGACAGUUGCCUGCUGGACAAGGACACCUUCCUGGAAAACUUCCACCUUGAGUGGUGGCCAAAUAAGGCCUACCUCUGCUAAGAGACGGAGCUCCCCAGGGGUGACCCCGGGGUCCCUCUGGGCCAACACAAGGACAUCCUGUGCAAUAAGCAAAUGACACAACGCUUUCCUGCCUCCUCUGUGCUCGGCCUGCCCCAGGGAGGUCAGCCGGACUGCCACGCGGAGUUACGCCGGCUGCAGCGGAUCCAGGCCUGGGAGCUGCUUUCCGUCCUGGAGAACAGACACGUGACCCCACACCCCUUCGCCUCCCGCCUCUAUACCGAGGAAGGAUUUCAGAAUGGGUUGCGCCUCCUGCGGGGGGCCGGGGCCCGCAUCGCCAUCAUGACCUCCACCGGUCCGUGUGGAGCUCCCGGGGUGGGCGGUGGGCAGGGAGAGGCCUGGGGGGACUGGCUACGAAGGCGUGGGCAGGAGUGGAAUCCCUGGCGGAAGCGUCUGGUGGCGGCACGGGCCAGGCUGACCUGGGACGGCAGGGGACAGCGGAGCGUGCUGGAAGAGAGAGUUGGGGCCAGGAGAGGAGUCCGGAACGAGCGGGAGAAUAGCGGACGUGCAAGAGAGACAUGGGGUGUCCCGAGAGGAGGGGAAUCCGGCUGGCCGAGACUGCAGGCUGAAGAAAGAGUCCCGGGGGUGAAAGGAGUCAGUCGCCGGGAGGACAGAGGGCAGCGGCACCGUUAUGAAGGGCAAAGCCUGUCCCUGAGAGUCAGACACCCUGUGGCCACCCCUGUGGCCCAGCUCUCCCGCCCCGCCCCGCCCCGCCCCACUGCAGAGUUUGAGCACUGCUGGGAACCCUUCGUGGACAACCAGGGAAGAGCCUUCGAGCCCCGGGACACGCUGGUCUCCCAGAGUCAGGACCUCGCUGAGACGCUGCAGGUCACAGGGAUCUAGAGACCAAAAACCUCCUCCUACAAGCCAUCCUGUCAGCAGCACUGACUGGAAGUGACAGCCACGCUCUGCAAGAGAAGAGGAAGGAGUCUGCUGGAGAGGAACCUCCCCUCUGAGGUCAGGUGGGGGCGGGAGGCUCUCCAGUCCUCACCCCUCCUGACUGGCCUGCCCCCGAGAGGAAGCCAGAGGGAGGGACUUCCAUGCCCAGAAGGCGAGCUCUGCCCCUUCCUGACACAGGGCACCCGGUGCACAGACAAGGGACUGGACGGGCAGGGGACCGGGACCGGCACCGAGGCGGGAUCCCCCCCUGCCGCCGGGCUCACUGUGGCCCUCGUGCCGGCUCCGUGGAAUCCAGAGCCCGCUGAGUGGAGCCCCGGCUGCUGGUGGGCGUGCACGAGGCCUUCCCGAAGGACAGCAAGAGUCCCCGGUACCUCCUCACACACUUCUGCUCACCUCUCAGGGCCCAAACGGUGUCACAGCCUCCCUCACACGGUGACCUAAGGGGUGAGGGAGGGGAAUCCUUUAGGGAGAGACCUUGGAGGGACAGAGAGGAAGGGAUAGAUGGCCAUGGCCGUCGGGGAGGAGGAGACCCAGUCAGGGAGGGCUGGCACCCCAAAGGGGAAGACCUGGCCAAGCAAAGUGACAAAGACAUGGAAGGAAAGGGGGGCAGAGGGGCAAAGCAGGGCACAGGGCCACCGUGGAUGAUGGGGCAGGAGGAGCCCAGGGAUAAAGGGGCUGCCAGCGACAGUAGAUGCCUGGAGGGGGUGGAAGUUGGGGUCAUAUGACAGGAGACAGGCUGCUGCGGUUCCUGGCUCUCCUCCCCUGCGCCCCGGGGAUGGUGAUGCAGCCAAUGUCUCCUGGGCUCGUGGGCCGGAGGCAGCCCGGGGCCACCAGGGAGGGGACGUGAGCCAGGACGUGGCGUGAAAGGGAAGAGGGCCCCUCCCCAGGGUCUGGAUGAAACCAGCGAGCAGAAGCCCCCAGGAGCCCUGGCUUCCAGAAUCCGGCAGCUGGCUGGCGCCUGGGCUGCAGGAGGCUCAGGGCCACAGUUAGCAUGUCUGUGGGACUCAGCUCGUGUGCAGGUGCCCAGCAAGGUGAGGGGGAAGCGGGAUACGAAGCGCACACUCCCGGCCCGGUGCGGCGCGGUCGCCUGGGUUCCCCGGGGGAUGCGCGCCGGACCUCAGGACACGUGGGGGGGGACCUGCCGCCCUGGCAGGCCACUCAACCGCCAGUCACCUGGGGCCGAGGGCUCUUCUGCGAUCGGGUGGCCAGCCUGGCCGGCUCUGUGAGUGCCGUGUGGCCGGGAGCCGUGCCACUGGCGGCAGGCUGGCUGGCUGCCUGUUCAAGAAUUCGCUCUUCUCUUUCUGGUGGGGGACGAAUUCACAGCACGUGCCUGACGCAUAUGCCCUUCGAACGUCUCCAUUCUUCCAUCUUGACGGCUCUCCCCUAUGUUUUAAGUUGACGUUUGACUUCUCUACUGUGCCUGAGUGUUUGUGAGCCCCAGAACUCCGGGUGGGGUCCCAGGCCCCCAGCCGUGGUCCCCUCCCUCAGCAGGGCACGGGGAACAGGGGGGGUCUGGGACCAGGGCUGUCCCCCGUGUGUAUUCCCAUGUCACCGGCUCUCCUAACACCCACGGCUGCGGUGGGAUUUUUAAUGACCGUUUUCCUCAAUGUAAUUAAGUAGAAUUUCAUGUACAAUAUUAAAAUAAAAUGUAGAAGUUAAAUUUUAAAAAAGGGAAGGAAAGAAAGAGAGAAAGGAACACAUGCAGGUCUUGAGCCGUGCACCCUCCUCCUGUACGAUGACCCCAGGUCAGCUGGUCGCCUGCAGUCCCCCGGGCUGGAGCCUGGGGUCACCUUGACUCUCCGGGGGGGCCCCCCUCCGCAUCCUUGCUCUUUCUGUCUCUGGUGCUGGAGGCCCCUGAGCGUGCGCCACCGCGGGACCCGGGAGCCGACCCGGGAUCCCGAGCUGGUUCCCGCGUGGUAAACUUGACGGACUCAGCGCGAGGCAGGAACGAGGGAGAACAAGCAGCACUCGCCGAGCGCCGGCUGUCCACCAGGCUCUGUGGCUCGUGCCUGAACGGACGCGAGCGGAGCGGCUCUUUGAAACCCCCCAGCCCGCCGGCCCAGCCGUGAGGACGGGUCCUUCCCAGGUGCCCUGCGCCCGGGAGGAAACAGAGGCUCUGGGGUCAGAGGUCACAAGCAGAGCUGGGGGCUGACCCACGUGCCCACGUGCUGGGCCCACGGGCCCCAACUCUGAGCCCGGGAAGGUGAGGAAAGCCCGACAUCGGGCACCCAGGCUUCUUUGCGAGUAGAGAAGUGUGUGCGAUUUUACGAGCAAUUUCCUUAUCUCAGAUACAACGUUCAAAAAGAAAAAAAGAAAAGGGCUCCCUUCUAGGCGGAGAGGAAGUGAUAGUCUCCUACCGGAAACUAUCACUUCUCAGAAAGGAAGUCCACAUGUCCUUUAAUUUAACAGGCAGAACUUUCCAAACAAUCUAAGUCACUCCCGUGUGACCAAGGUGGAAGGCAGUCCUGGGCCGUGCCCUCAGCUCAGGGGCCAAGACCAGACUUCAGGGUCCACAGGCAGGUAGAUGGGAGUCUGUGGGACGGAGAGGUGGGGGUCACCUGGACCCUCCCCUGUCUCCUCCAGACCCCGAUCUCCUCGAGGGCGGGACGUGCCUGUCCCUUCCCUGCAUCCCAGGUUCCUGCCAGGGUGGGACCCUGAGUAGGGGCUCCUGGGUACCUAGGAAUGAAUGGCUGAGGGACCCAGUGUAGGACCCAACCAGUGUUGCCCUCCCUGUGUGCAGGAAUCCUGCCACGUGGAAACGUGUACGUGUGUGCGUUCUCGGAGGGCAUCCUGGCGAAGCUGGAAGUGCACAGGUGCCCAGUCCCACGGGGCAUUUCCCGAAACCUUGGUUGUGAAUGUGCCCAGACCUUGCCCACAUUCCUGACUUGAGCCCAGGGACCUCAGCCUGCGGACUUUGUAGCCCGGACUCCACUCCAGGUGGUCCCAGCAGAUGGGCAAGAGGUGGGACCUGGCCCAGGGCUGGGGUCUCCUCGGGGAGGGGGCCCUGGGGAGUCAGCUGUCCAUCAGGGGCGGUGUGCAGGUCCCAGUCAGCCCCCAGAGGGAGGAUUCUGGCCCACGCUGAGAGUGGGGGCAGAGUCCUGGCUUAGGAUUGUAGGUGACACCGGGGACCAUCUCUCAGGGUCCCCGUGAGGGCAAUGAGCUGGACAGGGGUGUUAGUGGCGGGGCGGCCUCUGCUCCCUGCAUGGAAGCUGGCUGUCUCCCCUCCCACCACAGAGGAUGCUGGGCCGACUGGGGGGGGGGGGGGGCGGGGGCAGGGAAGGCCCAUGAGUCCUGGAACAGCCGGCAGGGAGGUGCUGGCAGGCGUCCUGGUGUGGCACACCCUCAGCCCCGCCGCCCCCUCUCCUUCCCGUUUCACCCCUCACUGGCCCUUCCUCCGUCUGGGGGACCCUCCUUUCUAUCGGUCUUCCUUCUGUCCCAGGCUCCUGGUGCACUUUCCCAGUGCCUGGGCCCACAUCAGCUUAGCUCCACUGUCCCCAGUCCCCCCUCCCCUGCCUUCUGUCUCCUUCCCUCACUCCUUAGGCUCCUUGGGGCCAGGCUGGGGCAGGGGAGAAGGGGAGGGAGAAGGGAGGGAGGAGGAGCCUCUGGGGAGACUGGAGUUAGGCUUUUUCUCCUGCUUCAUAAUCCCCAGGUCUAUUUAAACCACAGUUCUGGAAACUAAAUAUAGAACCGCCCUACCAUCCAGCAAUUGCACGAUUAGGUAAUUACCCAAAGGAUGAGAAAAUAGAGAUUUGAAAGGGUGCACGCACCCCAACGUUUAUAACAGCACUAUCAACAACAAACUAUGGAGAGGGCCCAAAUGUCCAAAGACUGGUGAAUGGAUAAAGAGGAUGUGGUGUAGGGGUGCCUGCGUGGCUCAGUCGGUUAAGCAUCCGACUUUGGCUCAGGUCAUGAUCUCACGGUUCAUGU